rnacentral:rRNA from 1 species
UGGGGAAUUUUGGACAAUGGGCGCAAGCCUGAUCCAGCCAUGCCGCGUGCGGGAAGAAGGCCUUCGGGUUGUAAACCGCUUUUGUCAGGGAAGAAAUCUUCUGAGUUAAUACCUCGGGAGGAUGACGGUACCUGAAGAAUAAGCACCGGCUAACUACGUGCCAGCAGCCGCGGUAAUACGUAGGGUGCAAGCGUUAAUCGGAAUUACUGGGCGUAAAGCGUGCGCAGGCGGUUUUGUAAGACAGAGGUGAAAUCCCCGGGCUCAACCUGGGAACUGCCUUUGUGACUGCAAGGCUUGAGUGCGGCAGAGGGGGAUGGAAUUCCGCGUGUAGCAGUGAAAUGCGUAGAUAUGCGGAGGAACACCGAUGGCGAAGGCAAUCCCCUGGGCCUGCACUGACGCUCAUGCACGAAAGCGUGGGGAGCAAAACAGGAUUAGAUACCCUGGUAGUCCACGCCCUAAACGAUGUCAACUGGUUGUUGGGAAGGUUCCUUCUCAGUAACGUAGCUAACGCGUGAAGUUGACCACCUGGGGAGUACGGCCGC